rnacentral:rRNA from 1 species
GACGAACGCUGGCGGCGUGCCUAAUACAUGCAAGUCGAGCGGAAGUUGGAGAGCUUGCUCUUCAACUUUAGCGGCGGACGGGUGAGUAACACGUGGGCAACCUGCCCUGCAGAUCGGGAUAACUCCGGGAAACCGGUGCUAAUACCGAAUAGUUUUCGCCACCUCCUGGUGGCGUACGGAAAGACGGUUUCGGCUGUCACUGCAGGAUGGGCCCGCGGCGCAUUAGCUAGCUGGUGGGGUAACGGCCCACCAAGGCGACGAUGCGUAGCCGACCUGAGGGGGUGAUCGGCCACACUGGGACUGAGACACGGCCCAGACUCCUACGGGAGGCAGCAGUAGGGAAUCUUCCGCAAUGGACGAAAGUCUGACGGAGCAACGCCGCGUGAGUGACGAAGGUUUUCGGAUCGUAAAACUCUGUUGUGAGGGAAGAACAAGUACCAAUUAACUACUGGUACCUUGACGGUACCUCACCAGAAAGCCACGGCUAACUACGUGCCAGCCGCCGCCGUAAUAC